GACGAACGCUGGCGGCGUGCCUAAUACAUGCAAGUAGAACGCUGAAACUUGGUGCUUGCACCGAGCGGAUGAGUUGCGAACGGGUGAGUAACGCGUAGGUAACCUGCCUGGUAGCGGGGGAUAACUAUUGGAAACGAUAGCUAAUACCGCAUAAGAGUAGAUGUUGCAUGACAUUUUCUUAAAAGGUGCAAUUGCACCACUACCAGAUGGACCUGCGUUGUAUUAGCUAGUUGGUGGGGUAACGGCUCACCAAGGCGACGAUACAUAGCCGACCUGAGAGGGUGAUCAGCCGCACUGGGAGGGAGACACGGCACAGAGGGCUAGGGGAGGGAGCAGGAGGGAUUCGGGGGGAAGGGGCGGAAGUCUGAGCGAGCAACGCCGAGUGAGGGAAGAACGUUGCCGGAUGGGAAAGCACUGUUGUAGGGGAAGAAAGAGCGUGAGAGUGGAAAGUACACACUGUGACGGUAACGGAUCAGAAAGCGACGGCUAACUACGUG
rnacentral:rRNA from 1 species